GCCUCGGGCUCCCUUCCUUUCCCAGCCAGCGGUCGUGGCUUCCCGGCAGGAAGGCCAGCUGCUCCUCCUCUCCACCAGCUGUGGUUGCCGCUGCCCACAGAGGACAGGGAGGCAUAACCCAGUGCGGGCUCAGGGCCAGGGCACCGCAGAUCCCCACUCCAGCUGGAAACAGGACGUGACAGACACAGGUCAUGGGAAGGUCACUGACAAGUUUCCUGGUCUCCAGUAAGUAGAAAAACGAUUGAGGCUUGACUAAUAUUGCGUGGACAACCUUGAACAGGAGAAGCAGGACAGCACGGGGUGAAGUGCACAGGCUGGGAGCCAGGUACUUCCUGGGUUCAAAUUGUAAGAAGCACAUAAAAGAAACCACAUGAAAAGAAUGAUCCUGCCACAUGAAUAGGCCUUCCACAAGUAACUGGUGGAAUGAAUGAAUGAACCGUCUUUUCUCCCUUUGAGGCCCUACUCAUCACAGUUACAAAGAGAACCAGGAGCACAACAUUGUAAAUCAACUAUACUUCAAUUAAAGAAGAAAAACCAAAGAGAACCAGGAGAAAAGAGUGGAAAAACCCCUGAAGAUCUGGUUAAUUGACAACUUGAAUCAUUGCCAUGGUUACAGUAACUGUCCUUCGCCAGUAUGCACCUGCCCUUGGCUGGACAGAUGGAGAGUUUUCAAAACUACUAACACCCGUCUCAGAAAAUGAAGUAUCAUUGGCCCAAGGCACCCCAAACAGCAUUUUCCCCAUCCUCAUUCCAUUGACAAGUGCCUCUGGAAAUUUCUGUAACCGUUCAUCCCAGACCAGCAGGAAUUUCUCCUCCCAAGACCUGGGCCCAGAAUUCAUUGAGUUCCUCACUGAGUUCAUUGGGGUCUCCAGCAGCCUCCAUUCCCUUCCAUGACCAGCACAGCCCAGAUGCCCCACAGUGAGGCUCCCCGGAAACAGAGAGUUGAGUAAGGUGGAAAAAUGGGGUUUGUCCCCAAAAGCCAGAAUUAGAGUGGAGAUACUCUACCGAAAUUGCUCAAAGUGGGAAGAGCCAGAUAGCCAAACUGGAACAGUCUGGAGAAAGAACAGAAUUUGAAGAUGGGAACCCUGAGGUCUAGGAGGAUCAGUGGAGCUGAAAAUGAGAGCUAUUUGCUACCUUCAUGAAUGAGGUCCAGCCACAGUGGGUGCCCUAGCGGAGGGCAGUGGGUUCCUUUCAAAAGGAGGCUUGGGGGCCUGCCCAAUAUAGACUUGGGCUACUCUCAACAGUCAACAGAAUCUCUCAUUUCUCUGAAAAUUGAUUUCAUUUCCAGGAAAAAAAGUAUGAAAACUUCCCUAUCAGUGAGACAGUUGAGGUACAAAUACUGAAAGCAGAUUCAUAUUUGUGGAGACAAACCCAAGUGUUUUGUUUCCCAUGUAAAAUUUAAACAAAACACCAAAACAACAACAUUUCUGUUUGGAAUGCAGUCUGUUUGAGUUCCCUGAAUGUUUUGAAUCCAGCCCUAAACCUAAAGUAUGUUUGGCUAGUUCUUAAUUAUUAAAAUUUGGGGUAAAUUUGAGGGAAAUUUUAUCCAUACGUCUCUGAUCCGUUUGCAUUCAACUCACCAAAACAAUAUUUAAAUCUUACUUCAAGAAAUCUUUACAGAAUCAAAAAACAGGAAGUUCUAUUUUGCAAGGAGUAAACAACUUUAAACACCAAGCUUUUCUCAUUUGGUGGGAUUUGUCUAGACCAAGGAGAUUAAGUGCAUUCUAAACAUGGCAAAAUACAGCCCUCCUUCUCUACCAGGAGGAAAAUUUUAAAUAUAGGCUUGAUUUGCGUACAAAGCUUUGCUCAUAUCAAACUGGAGUAGAGGCUUGAAAAGCAUGAAAAAUUUCUGCUUUUUGUGUUGUGGUUUCAAUCUCAGUUUCUCAUGGGAUUCCACGGCACUGGGCCAGUUUUAUCAUUUUGCUGGACUCAGGUCUCUUGAGGAAGAGAGAGUCCCAGCAUAUGUCACUCCCAUAAAAAUAUGCUGAAGCAUUUUAUUCAUUGACUACAGUGCCUAAAACUGCAAUAAUUUAUUUUGUCGUGAAUUGUAAUGAUCAUGCAAACUGCCCUGAUGCAUUUAAAGAGAAAGUAUAUAAAAUCCCUAAAUGGUUUUCAAUGAUAGCUAACUCAUUAACUUUUUUUUUCUUUAGUUGUUCAGCUUUUCCACUGGGAAAGGAUAAAUAAAUGCUGGCAUUGCAAAUACCAAUGAGUUUAAGUUCACUUUUUGAUUGACCAGAUGACCAUAAAUUUUUGAAUCCUUAGUCUCUUAGAAACUACACGAAAUCCAAGCACAAAAACACUAGACUUAAGUUCAAGAGGUAAUGAGUAUGACAAUAUCAGAGGACCAGCCAAAAGGCUGGAAGGAAAGGAAACAAAAAGAUGAGUGUGAAGCAACAGAUUCUUUAUCAAGGGCAACUUUUUAAAGCUCCAACAAUGGGUAGGUUCUAUUAUAAUCAAACCCAAUACAGUAUAUUGAUUUCAUUAAUUGCUCCAAUUCUUUACCUUUGCCUGCAUCUACACAAUUUGCCAUGCAACUUUCCACUUGUCACUCUGAUGUGAAGCCCUAUCUAUACCUAGACCCUUUAUUAAAAUACCAGCUUUAUAGAGUUAUAAUUUAUAUACAAUAAAAUUCACCUAUUUAAAAACGUAUAGUCUUAUCAGUGUGAUUAAUAUAUACAGUU